AAAAUGGGCUCAUUCAGUGGGCCAUUCACCAUUCCCAAAUCAUGCCUUAUACUUUUGUGCCUCUGGGCUUUUGAAUAUCUUAGCCCUACAUUCCCCAUUAAUAGUAACAUUGAACAUUCUUACUUUAAGAUAGACUAUUCUUACAAAGCUUCCAGACUCCUCCAGGCAGAGCCAAUACCUACAUCAUACUCCUUGAUCAUACGAUAGUAGAAUUACUCCUAUGUCCACUCCUCCUUCCCACCACUCACGAACUCCAAAACUUAAGGCACUGUACCUUCUUCAAACAGCUUCUUAUCUUAGCACAUUGCUUGGCUAACAGUGUUACAUCCAUGGUAGUUUGAAUGGAGAUAGAAAAAAAAUAACAGCAACUAAACAUCUGGUUCUAAAGGAUAUUAAAGAACUCUCCAGUUGUUUAUAAGACUUACUCAUUUAAGCUACUGCAUGAACAUCUAAUUUAAAAGGCCGUCAAGGCAGGAAGUCUUGAAAUUUCCAUUAGUAACACUUCUGUAUCAAAUAGUCCUUAAAAGUUUUCUUUUACAAAGAAAAUUCUCAUAAAAUUCUACAAAAAGGGUGCUCAAAUUGCCAAAAUACGAGCUUCAUACUACCUAUUAAGGGUCCUCUAAAAAGCAUGAUAAUCUAAUUAAGAAAACAUGUUUUACCAGACAUUCUCAAUGUGUCCAUCUUAAACUGAUUUAAUGAUUAGAUAGCAGUAUUCUUGCUGGUUUUCUUUUUCUUUUCCUCUAAACUCAAAUAAUUCCUUCAUGUAUUUUGUUUCCUAUUUGUUCCUGAUACUUUAUUAUAGUUUAUGGCCUUCAGUAUGGAUUAGAUCCCCAAGUGCAAUAUACAAAACUUUUUGAUUAUCCUAAACGCCCCUAAAUCUCCAAGGAAUCUGCAAAUUUCUCUUUCUACUAAUAAGAAAGAUGGCAAAAUUCUCUACAUUCCCCAUAAACAGGUAUCAUACUUGAUAACCGAGACUUCCCCAAAUGUCCUUGCUUCAUGGGUCUGAAGACCUAUUACUACUUGCACAGCAGUGGAGUUCCUUCAUUUUGUAAACGUGUACUUAAAUACUCUUUAGCACAUCCAGUAAAUUCUGAAGAACUCCAAGACGUCUCUGGCAGAUGAGGCAGGAAACCUAUGGGAAAGCAUUUGGAGAAGCUCUAUAACGUGAAGUAACAGGAAAGAGUGAGGAAGAUGCCGCAAAUUCUGGGAAACUAUAUGAACUCUUGAAAGCAGUGGGAACAUAAGUAGAUAAAUUACACUUUUGGGAGGUAGGAGUUGAGAGUGAAGUAGAAGGCUAUGAAAAAAGUUCCAGAGUCCCAGAGGGGUAAAUGUUGAAGUGAAAUGAAAUAAAUCAGAAUACCCUGACUUCUAUACCUCACAGUUUUGAAAGGCUUCAUCAUCUAUGAACAGAUCUUUUAUAAGGUUAGGUCUACAACUUUUCAACAGAUAAAAACAGCUGAUCACCAUCUUAAAUAUGAACCUGUAAAACAGUGUCCAUUUAAAAAUAUUCUAUUUCUUCCAAGUAUAGAGAAAACAAAUAUGUGUGAAAAUAUACACGUUAUUUCAUAAUAAUUAAUUUUAUCAAAUCAGGAGCAUAUUAGCUUUGCAUUACAAACUGACUCUCCAGAGUUAGAUUUAUAUUAACAUAUUCAAUAAUACAUAUUGAGCAUUAUAUUGGUUAUAUGCAAGAUGGGAUUACAAAAAAUGAGUACAGACUCUUGUCCUCAAGAAGCUCACACUCUAGUAAAGGAUUGGGCACUUUUGGUUUUAGACACGUGUGUUCAAUUUUUAACAAUAUUUAGACCACCAUUUUCCAGUAUUUUCCUUGGAACACCAAUCCUAGUAAAAGGGUAGAUUGAGUUAGAAAAGAGAAUAUACCCAGAGGAUAACAUAGGAGGACAUUAAAGGCACUGAGAAGUCUUGUAGUAAAGAACUUUAACUUUGCUUAACCUGACAUUUCUCAAAGUUACGGAACUGCAUUUUUUUCUUUUUUUUAAACCCAACAACUAUAAACAGAUCAUGGCACAUUUUGAGAAAUACUGGUUUAGACAUGCAAUUUAAAAGAUGCAUUUUUAAAUGUUUCCAAAGGCACUGAAACACAAACUUUUAACACCUUUCACAUUUUUGGAAUACAAAAGAACAAGUUAGUAAAUUAUUGGGAAAGUAUUGUGAAAUAAUUUGAGGCAUGGGGUUAAGGGAUACGGAGGGAAUAACAAAUAGAAUAGCUUUCUAAAACCACAGACAACUAUCUAUAACUGUAAGUUAUGCUUUAUAAAGACUAAAAAUAGCCCUAACAUUUUUGAAACAGAUGACAUAUAUAAUUUUAUUAAAAUCUGUUUUAUCUGAAUAUAUGUUGAGGCUGCUUAAAAAAAAAAUCUUAAUCUGAGAUAAAUUUUACUUCUAUUUUUAAUUACAUGUAGAGGCAAGACAUUAUAUGCUCCGUAUUCCAUUUGUUAGCAUUAUCUUUCUAUCCUUUUUUCUUUAUUUUCUGAUACAGGGCCUUGCUUUGUCAUCCAAGUUGGAGUGCAGUGGUGCCAUCACAGCUCACCAUAGCCCUGAACUCGUAGCUCAAGCAAUCCUCCUGCUUCAGUCUCCAGAGUAGCUGGGACUACAGCUGCGAGCCACCAGGAAUGGCUGAUUUUUCUGUAGAGAUCGGGGUCUUGCUUUGUUGCUCAGGCUGGUUUUGAAUUCCUGGCCUCAAUCAAUCCUCCUACCUCAGUCUCCCCAAGUUUGGGAUUACAGGGAUGAGCCAUUAUGCCUGGCCCUUUCUGUCCUUUCCUGAAUUUUAAGUUUGUACCUACUCUUCUCUCUUGAUGCUAGCUAAUGGAAAUCUGAUAUUUACAUACUUCUAAUUGCUGUUUUCUUAAAAAAACAAACAAACAGCAAUAUCAAAAGGGGAAAAUGUUCCCUCUUCCCUAUAGCUGAAGAAAAGCAAAUAGAAUUCUAUUCUAUAUCAUAAAACUGGGUUUAAAAAUAUUAUUUCAAGUAAAAUAGUCUUCCCAGAUACCUGGAUUUCAGUGUUGCUAUAUUCUGUGAAAAAUAAUGUAAGUUUAAAGUCUGUAAUUCUGAUUAGUUGUCUGAUUGAUUUGUUGUCUUGUUAAUAAUAUUUAAAACAACAUUCUGAUUCCUGAAAGUUGCCUUUGCAAAUUUAUUUGUUAAACUGAGAAAAAAAGAUUCAUGGCACAACCCCUUUCUUGCAAAGGUCACACACGUAUUUUACUAUGUAUUAUUUCUUAUUGAAAGAGUUAAGUCUUGUUUAAAUUAGUAAUUCGUGCUAUGACUAAAACAAAACACUGUAUAAUACUGAAGAGGGAACUGGCAGCUUGGAGAAAAAAACCAAAUUGGCUUCGAGACAUGCAGUCUGUUCUUAAGACAAAGCAGUAAAAAAUUUUGCUUUCUCCAUAUUCUUCCUAGAUGGCAGAAAGUGCUGUCCUCACCUGAGAUGAUACUUUAACUUCCGAAAAGUCAUAAAUGACUGAUGCUCCUUAAGCUUUUGGGUAGUUCUUGAUUGUAGACAAUUGUAAAAACAAUAAAGAUUCCUCGCUUCUGGAGGAGCUAAAAUAUCUACUCCUUAGUCUCCUCUGCUGUGGAUAUUACAAAAUACUGUUAUUGUUACUAAACUAAGGCUGUGGUGAUUUCUUCAUGUUUUUAUUUUUAAUUUUAUUCUUAGUAGAGACAAGGUCUUGCUAUGUUGCUCAGGCUGGUCUCAAACUCCUGGGUUCAAGAGCCUACCAAAGUGCUAGGAUUAUACCGACGUAGGCAUGAGCCACUCUGCCUGGCCCAUGUGGUGACUUCUUUACAGGCACUGUUGCUCUUAUAUUUAUUAACUGAUUUCUACUGCUAACUCAUUCACUUGUUACUAUUAAGAUCAGGUCACAAACUAAACAGAGAAUUAGCGUGAUAAAUAAAAUCAUCCGUCCUGGGAGCUCUCUGUAAAUAUGCAGGUUAAUAUCAUAUAUGUGUUGUUCAUAAGUUUUAGUGAUUAUGUGUACUUUUUGUAGGAUGGGUAGAAAACAUAACAUAUUUGAAAGCUGAAACAAUGAGUAUUGGCAAAAGUCUUCAUUGUUACAUUUGGAAUAGCAUUUCGCCUAUUUAUAGUAACUAGGGAAUACACUUUAUAAGACAGAUUGUAAAAGUAGUUUAUAACUCCUUGAGAUUUUGUAAAGCAUUUGCUACCUCUCCAUCUAGAAACAAUAGGGAAAGUAUAACACCAAGAUGGGAUUCUAAAGACACUGAAGUGGCCAGGCACACUGUUCAUUUUUCUUAAGAAAUCUUCAGCAGCAAGGAUUGGAUUUUGCAGGUUCAUGAGUGGAAGACAGAGCCUGAAACUUACUUGCAGGGGCCUUUUUCAAGCCCUCCUGAGUACCUGUCAGGUACAAAG
rnacentral:lncRNA from 1 species